rnacentral:rRNA from 1 species
AUUGAACGCUGGCGGCAUGCCUUACACAUGCAAGUCGAACGGCAGCACGGGAGCAAUCCUGGUGGCGAGUGGCGAACGGGUGAGUAAUAUAUCGGAACGUGCCCAGGUCGUGGGGGAUAACGUAGCGAAAGCUACGCUAAUACCGCAUACGAUCUAUGGAUGAAAGCGGGGGAUCGCAAGACCUCGCGCGAUUGGAGCGGCCGAUAUCAGAUUAGGUAGUUGGUGAGGUAAAGGCUCACCAAGCCGACGAUCUGUAGCUGGUCUGAGAGGACGACCAGCCACACUGGGACUGAGACACGGCCCAGACUCCUACGGGAGGCAGCAGUGGGGAAUUUUGGACAAUGGGCGCAAGCCUGAUCCAGCAAUGCCGCGUGCAGGAUGAAGGCCUUCGGGUUGUAAACUGCUUUGUACGGAACGAAACGGUGAGCUCUAAUACAGUUUGCUAAUGACGGUACCGUAAGAAUAAGCACCGGCUAACUACGUG